GUGUCAGCCGCCGCGGUAAUACGUAGGUGGCAAGCGUUACUCGGAAUUACUAGGCGUAAAGCGCAGGUAGGUGGUGUGAUAAGUCCGUAAUGAAAUCUCCCGGCUUAACUGGGAGGGGUUUAGGGAAACUGUCAUGCUUGAGUGUGGGAGAGGUAGCUGGAAUUCCUGGUGUAGCGGUGAAAUGCGUAGAGAUCAGGAGGAACACCUAUGGCGAAAGCAGGUUACUGGCCCAAUACUGACACUGAGCUGCGAAAGCUAGGGGAGCAAACAGGAUUAGAUACCCGGGUAGUCC
rnacentral:rRNA from 1 species